UACGUAGGGGGCAAGCGUUGUCCGGAAUCAUUGGGCGUAAAGCGCGUGUAGGCGGCCCGAUAAGUCCGCUGUGAAAGUCCAGGGCUCAACCCUGGAAUGCCGGUGGAUACUGUCGGGCUCGAGUCCGGAAGAGGCGAGUGGAAUUCCUGGUGUAGCGGUGAAAUGCGCAGAUAUCGGGAAGAACACCCGUGGCGAAGGCGGCUCUCUGGGACGGUACUGACGCUGAGACGCGAAAGCGUGGGGGAGCAAACAGG
rnacentral:rRNA from 1 species